AAGUAUUAAACCCCCUAUUAACUUGCCACCCAUUGGAAUUCCACCGGUGACAGUUCCGCCGAUUGUAAAACCACCUAUCAACUUGCCGCCUGUUAUUCCACCAGUUAUUAAGCCGCCCAUCGGAAUUCCACCUGUCACAGUUCCACCAGUAGUAAAACCACCUAUCAACUUGCCACCAGUUAUCAAGCCACCUAUCGGAAUUCCACCCGUUGUAAAACCACCUAUCAACUUUCCGCCCGUUGUUCCACCUGUUAUUAAGCCACCUAUCGGAAUCCCACCGGUGACAGUUCCACCAGUUCUUAAGCCACCAAUUGGUUUACCACCUAUUGUAAAACCUCCAAUCAACUUACCACCUAUCGGAAUUCCACCCGUGACAGUUCCACCAGUUAUUACACCAUCCCCUAAAGGAAAACCAUGCCCUUCACCACCAACAACAAAGGCAACAUGCCCAAUUAACACCCUAAAACUUGGAGCUUGUGUAGAUCUUCUUGGUGGUCUAGUUCAUAUUGGAAUUGGUGACCCUG
rnacentral:lncRNA from 1 species